rnacentral:rRNA from 1 species
CCUACGGGAGGUAGCAGUGGGGAAUAUUGCACAAUGGGGGAAACCCUGAUGCAGCGACGCCGCGUGAGUGAAGAAGUAUUUCGGUACGUAAAGCUCUAUCAGCAGGGAAGAAAAUGACGGUACCUGACUAAGAAGCCCCGGCUAACUACGUGCCAGCAGCCGCGGUAAUACGUAGGGGGCAAGCGUUAUCCGGAUUUACUGGGUGUAAAGGGAGCGUAGACGGCAGCGCAAGUCUGGAGUGAAAUCCCAUGGCUUAACCAUGGAACUGCUUUGGAAACUGUGCAGCUAGAGUGCAGGAGAGGUAAGCGGAAUUCCUAGUGUAGCGGUGAAAUGCGUAGAUAUUAGGAGGAACACCAGUGGCGAAGGCGGCUUACUGGACUGUAACUGACGUUGAGGCUCGAAAGCGUGGGGAGCAAACAGGAUUAGAUACCCGAGUAGUC